UACGUAGGGUGCGAGCGUUGUCCGGAAUUAUUGGGCGUAAAGGGCUCGUAGGCGGCCUGUUGCGUCUGCCGUGAAAGCCCGGGGCUUAACUCCGGGUCUGCGGUGGAUACGGGCAGGCUAGAGUUCGGUAGGGGAGACUGGAAUUCCUGGUGUAGCGGUGAAAUGCGCAGAUAUCAGGAGGAACACCGGUGGCGAAGGCGGGUCUCUGGGCCGACACUGACGCUGAGGAGCGAAAGCGUGGGGAGCGAACAGGAUUAGAUACCCGCGUAGUCCCUGA
rnacentral:rRNA from 1 species